rnacentral:rRNA from 1 species
GAACGACAGAAGCUCAAGGUGAAGAAGGCCAUCGAGAAGGGCAACGCCGACGGCGGCCAGAUCCAUGCCGAGAACGCCAUCCGCAAGCGCACCGAGCACAUGAACUACCUCCGCCUCGCCUCCCGCCUCGCCCCAUACGCCCAUGACUUGACCCAGAACAGCAGCAUCCUUGAUGCGACUAACCUUCACCUAGUUCUUUCUCUCGCAGACUCGAAGGAGGCCGUAUGCAAGGCACCAAGGUGCAUGGUCCUCGCAAGCGAGGAACGGAGGAUGUUCGACAUCGGCUACGCAAACCACCAUUGA